AACACGAACGAAAUCCUAUCGCAAUGUCGAGAAAACGUAUAGGUCGUAGUAGUAGUAGUAGUAGUAGUAGUAGUAUAAUUCUUUCUUCUCUCUGAUUUGAACGAUAUAAUUUUUCUUCUUACGAUGGUUAAUAUUCACUUUUAACGAUUAGAUCGGUUUAAUAUCUUGUAAAAACGACGUUGUGAAAUAUAAUAACUCAUUUUAUAACUCGUUCGAGUAGGCCUCGCAAAGCGAAUAAGAUGUUACCCAUCGUGGAAGAGAAUGAGCGCGAUUAAAAUUGAUGUAAAUCACACGACCGUUUACGCGAUUUGUAAAACAAUACUCAGGUUUUAUUUAUCCGAACUUAUACGCUGUGACGUCAUAUUGCUUCGUCGAUGAUCAUCUGUUUUAAAAGUACUUCCAUAAUCAUAUUUGAAAUAUUUAGAACGCGGGAACACGGUUAUAUAUGACAUAUAUAUAUAUAUGUAUGUGUGUAUAUAUGUAUAUAUAUGUUUCAUUUUCUGUAGAAAAUAUUUAUUCAUUUCUUUUAAAUAUCUUCCUUGAAUGAAGUUAAAAUGUAUACUUAUCGUUUAAUUACUAUUAAUGUAUGAAUAAAAAAUAAGAUUUUCUUUUCUUAAUAUAAAGUUUUUUUCUUUUUUUCUUUUUUUUUUUUUAAUUUGUUAUAUUUCAUUUGUUAUUAUAAUGGCUAAUUUAUCUCCAUUUAAAUUCAUUAAUUCAUGUAACACAUAUAUCUAGAUUUAAUUGAAAUCUGUAAAGAAACACAUUUGUCACAUUUGGCAGAUCUGAAAAACAAGGAAAAAUUUCAUGUAGUUUAUAAAUUCUUUUAUAAGUAUAUAUAAAUUAAAAAUAACAUUACAAUAUUUUAUGUCUAUAGGAAAUAACAUAAAUAUUAAAAAAAGGAAUGGAUAUUUCUCACUUACAUCAUUGACUGCAUAACUAUUAUAUUGUCGGCAAUACACUUUCUAAGCUUAAAUAUGAUAUUAACUACCAAAUUUUUAUACUAUUAUACUAUUCUAGCAUUAUUAAAGCAAUGGCAUUUUAUAUAUGUCAAUACACAAUGUUAUCAAAAGUUGUAAUAUUUGUUUUUUCUUUUUUUUAAAUACAAUUACUCUUAUUCAAUUAAAAACAUAUUGAAGAACAAAUGUUUUAUUUGAAAUUAUAUCUGAUAGAGAGAGGUUUUUUUUUAUAUAAAAUAAAAUACUCUAAGUAGAUUAUUGCACUAUAAAUAUUUGUUUACUAAUACCAACAUAACAAUGACAUUUACUAUUCUCACAAAUAAUUAUUUAUAUCAUAUCAAUUAUAUUCAUAUUUAUUUCUUAAAAAAAAAAAAAAAAAAAAAAAAAAAAAAAAAAAAAAAAAAAAAAAAAAACGUAGUUACAAUUAUUCAUAAACAAAUAAAGUAACUACUAUAAUUUCAUGCUUAGUAAUUUUUUAUGUUUAAUAAUCGUAUACAAUUUUUGUUAAAACAGAGAUUAAAAGAUCGAUAAUAAUUAUUUGUGUUUCUUGUUACAAACAUGUAGCGUUAUUUAUGAGAAUUCUUUUUUACAUUUUGCAGUGUAGAACUGCAUUACAUUUAAUGUUAUAUAAAGACUGUAGUAUACAUGUAAACUACAUUUACUUAUAUUCGAGUAACAUUAAUUUCAAAUAAAUAAAUAAAAAAUACUUACAGAUCACAAUAGUUUCAUGUAAUUAAAUAAAUUUUUUAAAAAUAAUAUAUCUCUUAUAAUCAACGCAUUUACUUAAGAUAACAUCACAUCAUUUUGUGUUUUCAGUUCAAGUAAAGAAAACGAAAUUAUUUUUUGUUUGGCAAAAUAAAAUGGAGCAAUAUAUAAAAAGAUAUUUUAAUUGAAAGAUUAUAUCUUAUAAAGUAAUAUUUCAACAAAUAUCUCUAAAAAUUGUCUCACAUUUUAUAUACAAAAUAUAACGAUACAGGUACUUUUCAAGUGAGAUUUAUAUAUAAAUCAAAAAAGAUGUAUUUAACAAUGAGUCUAAAUAUAUAUUUACUUUCCUGCAUGAAGAAGUUAUGUUUAUAUCAUACAUAAACGAAUGUACAUAAUACGUUCUUUUUCCUGUGAACUAGCAUUACUAAAAACAUGUAUCUAUGAGUAUACAUGCUAUUGAAAAAGUUAAUGAUCAGAAAUACAUCUACACUUUUAUAUAUUAAAGCAUUUCUUUUCUUUUUUAUAAACAUUACGUCCAUCGUUUUUAAAAAUGUUAUGAUUUAGAUGUGUGUCCUGUACACGAAUAAUGAUUUUCGAGUAUGUAUGUAUAUUUAUCCAUUUAACUUUUCAUGUAUAACGAAAGAAACUGUUUCUGUGAUAAUAUAAUCAAAUUUGAUAUCUAUCACAGUACUUACUGAAUGUUUCAAAUUCCUUGAAAUUCUUCUCUUAGAAUACUUCCGUUCUUAUAAAUCAGAUUAAAAAAGGACAUUUUAACCAUAAAAUAAUCUUACAGUUUCCUCUAUCAAUCUACAGUCGCAACCACAUCCGUAUUAUUAGUUUGAAUAG